CCUACGGGCGGCAGCAGUGGGGGAUAUUGGACAAUGGGGGGAACCCUGAUCCAGCGACGCCGCGUGAGUGAAGAAGUAUUUCGGUAUGUAAAGCUCUGUCAGCAGGGAAGAAAGCAAUGACGGUACCUGACCAAGAAGCCCCGGCUAACUACGUGCCAGCAGCCGCGGUAAUUCGUAGGGGGCAAGCGUUAUCCGGAAUUACUGGGUGUAAGGGGAGCGUAGACGGCUGUGCAAGGCUGGAGUGAAAGGCGGGGGCCCAACCCCCGGACUGCUCUGGAAACUGGAUGGCUGGAGUGCAGGAGAGGUAAGCGGAAUUCCUAGUGUAGCGGUGAAAUGCGUAGAUAUUAGGAGGAACACCAGUGGCGAAGGCGGCUUACUGGACUGUAACUGACGUUGAGGCUCGAAAGCGUGGGGAGCAAACAGGAUUAGAUACCCUUGUAGUC
rnacentral:rRNA from 1 species